CCCAAAGUCGGUGAGAUAACCUUUAUAGGAGUCAGCCGCCUAAGGCAGGGCAGAUGACUGGGGUGAAGUCGUAACAAGGUAGCCGUAGGAGAACCUGCGGCUGGAUCACCUCCUUUCUAAGGAA
rnacentral:rRNA from 1 species